rnacentral:rRNA from 1 species
UUAAGCGAAGAAGAGCGCAGGGUGGAUGCCUUGGCACUGAGAGCCGAUGAAAGACGUGAUAAGCUGCGAAAAGCCAUGGGGAGGUGCAAAUGACCCUUGAUCCAUGGAUAUCUGAAUGGGGAAACCUACAUGAGCAUACCUCAUGUGGCCUGUACUGAAUCCAUAGGUGCAGGCCGGGAACCCGGUGAACUGAAACAUCUAAGUAGCCGGAGGAAGAGAAAGAAAAUAUUCGAUUUCCAAAGUAGCGGCGAGCGAAAUGGAAAGAGCCCAAACCGGUGUGCGUGCACACCGGGGUUCGGACUGCAUGACUGAUCCACGAUCCCAGCAGAACGGUACUGGAAAGACCGGCGGUAAAGGGUGAGAGCCCCGUAAGCGAAGGGAGAAGGGACAGGGCAGUAUCCAGAGUACUACGAGACACGAGAAACCUUGUAGGAAUGAGCGGGGACCACCCCGUAAGGCUAAAUACUACUCAGUGACCGAUAGAGCAUAGUACUGUGAAGGAAAGGUGAAAAGGACCCCGGGAGGGGAGUGAAAGAGAACCUGAAACCCUGUGUUUACAAGCUGUGGAAGUACUUUAUAUGUACGACCGCGUACUUUUUGUAGAACGGUCCGGCGAGCUGCGGAUGCUGGCGAGGUUAAGCACUGAAGGUGCGGAGCCGAAGGGAAACCAUGUCUGAACAGGGCGUCAACAUCUCCUAUGGAGAUGCAGUCAGUAUACGCAGACCCGAAACCGGGUGAUCUAUCCAUGUCCAGGAUGAAGUUGCCGUAAAAGGCAGUGGAGGUCCGAACGCACAUCCGUUGAAAAGGGUGGCGAUGAGGUGUGGAUAGGGGAGAAAUUCCAAUCGAACCCGGAGAUAGCUGGUUCUCCUCGAAAUAGCUUUAGGGCUAGCCUCGUGAGAGUCAGGCGGAGGUAGAGCACUGAAUACCCGAGGGGGCGUCAAAGCUUACCAAAGGUUAUCAAACUCCGAAUGCCGCGCUGAUGCUUCACGGGAGUCAGACUACACGAGAUAAGUUGGGUGGUCAAAAGGGAAACAGCCCAGACCUGCAGCUAAGGUCCCAAAGUGCGUGUUAAGUGGAAAAGGAUGUGGGAUUUCGAAGACAACCAGGAUGUUGGCUCAGAAGCAGCCACACAUUCAAAGAGUGCGUAAUAGCUCACUGGUCGAGAGGUCCUGCGCCGAAAAUGUCCGGGGCUCAAACACGCCACCGAAGCUCAGGAAUGUAUUUAUACAUUGGUAGAGGAGCAUUGUCAGUGCACUGAAGCUGUACCGGUAAGGAGCAGUGGAGCGCUGAGAAGAGAGAAUGCCGGAAUGAGUAGCGAGAAAGAGGUGGGAAUCCUCUUGGCCGAAUAUCCAAGGAUUCCGGGGUAAAGCUGAUCUGCCCCGGGUAAGUCGGGACCUAAGGCGAGGCAGAAAUGCGUAGCCGAUGGACAGCAGGUGGAGAUUCCUGCACUGCCAUAUAUCAGAAAUGUGGGGACGCAUCAGGAAAGUGUGGGCCGGGAAAGGAAAGACCGGUGCAAGCGGAGGAGGGGACAUGCAGGCAAAUCCGCAUGUCAACCCGAGAGCGUUAUGCGGAGCGAAGAACAGUAGCGAAGCACACGGACAGGGUGCCGAGAAAAGCCGCUAUCGUGUAUAUGGUACCCGUACCGUAAACCGACACAGGUGGAUGAGGAGAGAAUCCUAAGGCCGGCGGGAGAAGCAUUGUUAAGGAACUCGGCAAAAUGGCCCCGUAACUUAGGGAUAAGGGGUGCCACAGUGAUGUGGCCGCAGAGAAUAGGCUCAAGCAACUGUUUAGCAAAAACACAGGUCUAUGCGAAACCGAGAGGUGAGGUAUAUGGGCUGACGCCUGCCCGGUGCUGGAAGGUUAAGAGGAGAGGUCAGGAAACGAAGCCUUGAAUUGAAGCCCCAGUAAACGGCGGCCGUAACUAUAACGGUCCUAAGGUAGCGAAAUUCCUUGUCGGGUAAGUUCCGACCCGCACGAAAGGCGUAAUGAUUUGAGCGCUGUCUCGACAAUGCACCCGGUGAAAUUGAAGUACCAGUGAAGAUGCUGGUUACCCGCGCCAGGACGGAAAGACCCCAUGGAGCUUUACUCCAGCUUGAUACUGGGAUCCGGUGUCCAAUGUACAGGAUAGGUGGGAGGCUGAGAGCCAUGAACGCAAGUUUAUGGGGAGCCGCUGUUGGGAUACCACCCUUUGGGUACUGGAUUUCUAACCUGCGCCCGUGACCCGGGCGGGGGACAAUGUCUGGCGGGGAGUUUGACUGGGGCGGUCGCCUCCGAAAGGGUAUCGGAGGCGCUCAAAGGUUCACUCAGAAUGGUCGGAAACCAUUCGGAGAGCGCAAAGGCAGAAGUGAGCCUGACUGUGACACCGACGGGUGGAACAGGUACGAAAGUAGGACUUAGUGAUCCGGUGGUAUAAAGUGGGAUUGCCAUCGCUCAACGGAUAAAAGCUACCCUGGGGAUAACAGGCUGAUCACUCCCAAGAGUUCACAUCGACGGAGUGGUUUGGCACCUCGAUGUCGGCUCAUCGCAUCCUGGGGCUGUAGCAGGUCCCAAGGGUUGGGCUGUUCGCCCAUUAAAGCGGUACGCGAGCUGGGUUCAGAACGUCGUGAGACAGUUCGGUCCCUAUCCGGCGCGGGCGGAGGAUAUCAGAGAGGAGCUGUCCUUAGUACGAGAGGACCGGGAUGGACGGACCGCUGGUGCAUCUGUUGGAUACCAGAUCCAUGGCAGAGUAGCCAAGUCCGGCAGGGAUAAACGCUGAAGGCAUCUAAGCGUGAAGCCCCCCUCAGGAUGAGAUAUCCCAUUCUUAGAGAAUGUAAGACCCCUUAGAGACUAUGAGGUAGAUAGGGCAUGGGUGUAAGUGCAGAGAUGCACUGAGCUGAAUGUCACUAAUAGGUCGAGGGCUUAUCCG